rnacentral:lncRNA from 1 species
AAAAGAUGAAUUGGUCAAAAUUUUUGUCAACUUGCCGCCGCUUAGGUCAAGAGUGCUCUCUUGGGUCUCCUGAAGAAACAGUAUUUUCUGGGGUCGGGAAGAAGAGAAGUGGUGGCUUUCGGGGCUAUGGACGACGGGAAGGAGUUGAGGAAUGACUUGGGGGCUAAGGAUGACGGGAAUGAGAUAGCCCUUCUUGAAGAAGAGUUGAUCCAUUUAUCGGUGAAAAGCUCUAUUGUAGAUCCUUUUGAAAAGCCAACACUGAUUUGUUCUGUUUGGACGAGAAAAAAUUACAAUCUGGACAGCCUGAGAGCACAAGUGAGAAGUAUCUGGAAAACCAAAAAGAAGUUUGAGAUUAUGAUUGCAGGCCAAAAUCUAUUCAAGAUAGUAUUCGAAGAUGAGGAAGACUUAGAGCAGAUUAUGAAUGGGCGACCAUGGUUCUUUCGAAAGCAAUUAAUUAUUUUUGAUCGUUUAACAAAAUUAGUAGAGCGAAACAAGAUCUGAUUGGUUUCUUCACUGUUUUGGCUAAAGAUCGGCCCAUGCCCAUCUGAGUGUGAUAAAAAGGAUCUGAUGCAUGCUGUGGGGUCCACGUUUGGGGGAAUUAUUCAUUCUAAGAUCAAAGGUGAUUUUUGUCGUAUUAGAGUUCAUCUAGAUGUUUAAAAACCACUUAGAAAAGGGAUUUUUGUCUCUCUAAACGACCAAGAUAAAGCCUGGCUUCUUUUCAAAUAUGAGUGUCUCCUAACGUUUUGCUUUGGGUAUAGUCACAUGGGUUACGGGAUUAAAGAUUGUCUAAUGUUAUCAGAGGGGGAUCGCAGCAAGGCGGAGGAUGAACUUCCUUUCUCGGUAGCACUUAAGGCAGAAUUGUCAGAUUAGGCAGGGAGAGCUUACUGUUUGGUUCUUUGCAGAAGAAAAUAAUGAAAAAAUGUUACUACAUCGGUUAGGAGGUAGCGGGUAAAGUUGAUAGUGUUUCAAUAGAUUCUGUACAACAGAUGCAUCGGAUGGUGAAAGAAGUUGGUUUAGAGAAGUCCUUUGAUCUUAGGGAAAUAGGGAUUUUGCGGCAAAAAUUUAGGGAUAAUGAAACAAAUUUUUAUCCUCAUAAUAUGCCGAGAGAAGUGGAAGAAAACUCCAGUAGGGAUCACUGUCGUGAGGGAAAUAGGUCAAAUUAAAUUUCUGAAUCAAACAGGCAAAUCGAACUGAUUGAGGCCUAACAAUUGAGUCAAAAGAAAUAUAGCUGGAGGCGCUUUUCUAGUAAAGAAUCUUUUGAUGCAAACAUGGCUGGGAUGAUAAUGGGGAAGCGAAAAUUUAAUCACGAGAAAUUGGAUGAUAUUGAAGCAUACCUUUCGGAUGAUGUUAAAACAAAAAGGGCAAAUUUUGACAGCAUAUGUUCGGCAGAUUUUGCAACAACUGAGCCUUCAUGCUUUGUUUUAACAGAUGUUAGUGACCCUUCACAAAUUAUAUCGACGGCUACCAAAUGGCAAGCCGACUGAAAACAAUGAAACUCUUAUGCUGAAAUGUCCGGGGAUUGGGGAAUCCCCGGGCUAUCAAGAGGCUUCACCACAUGUUAAAGCUUUACAAACCCCAAAUGGUCUUCUUAAUGGAGACAAAGCUGGAUCAAAACAGAAUGGAACGUGUUCGAAAGCGCUGUGGGUUUUAUAAUGGGCUGGAUGUUUCAGCUUUUAGUUCAAGGGGAGGUCUAAGCUUGGCUUGGAAUGGGAAUUUUUUAAUUCAAGUUCGUAGUUACUCAACUAAUCAUAUUGACGCUGAGGUUUAUGAAGAUGAUGACUCAAUUAAAUAUAGAUUUACCGGGUUUUAUGGGAACCUACGACAAGCAAAUAGACAAGAAUCUUGGAAUCUCUUUAGAAGAUUACGAAGCACCUAUACUUUGCCGUGGUGUGUAGGAGGUGAUUUUAACGAAAUAAUGUACACUCAUGAGAAAAAAGGGGGAGCAACAAGAGAUUGACGAUAAAUAGAGGAAUUUAGGCAAGCUCUGACAGACUGUGAAUUGGUUGAUAUGGGUUUCAAAGGGAAAAAAGUUGGGAAAGGGAAAUUUUGAGAGCACAAAUGUUAGAGAAAGACUUGAUAGGAGUGUGGCGAAUAGUGAAUGGUUAAACUUGUUUCACGAUUUCUCUGUUACCCAUCUUCCUCACUCUUAUUCUGACCAUUGUCCACUUUUUAUACAAACAGAGCUUAAUGAAUAUCCAGCUGGAAAGAAGAGGUUUAAAUUCGAAUCUUGGUGGAUACUGGAACCGUCUUGUGAAGAUGCCAUCAAGAAAUUGUGGACUAAAAAGUCAGGAGAUGCGCUGGAAAAAUUAGAUUAUCUUCGAGUUAAUCUUCAAAGAUGGGGGAAGACUAUCAAAGGAGAGCGUGAUAAAAGAUCGAAGGCUUUACGGAAAAGAUUGGCUAAAUUAGAAGGUAUGAAUAGGAAUGAUGAUAAUUUAGCUGAGAUGAUAACUGUAAAAUUGGAAUUAAAUUGGGAGAUGGAAAAUGAGGAAUUGUAUUGGGAACAAAGGGCUAGAGCAAAUUGGUUGCGUCAAUGGGAUAAAAAUACGGCUUUUUUCCACAGCAAAACAUCUCAAAGACAUAGGAUAAACAAGAUUUGGGGACUGGAAAACAUGGAAGGAGAUUUAAAAAUAGAGGAUACGAAUAUGGAAAGCAUCAUAAGGGAUUAUUUCAUGGGAUUAUUCCAAUCAAGUGGAGUUGGUGAUACAAACCGUCUUCUUUCGGGGGUUAAAAGGUGUAUUGGAGCGGACAUGAAUCAACUACUAAUAGAGAAAUACAAAGAGGAAGAAGUUGUCGAGGCAAUCAACAGUAUCGGGCCAACAAAAGCCUCCAGACCUGACGGUUUCCCAGUAAUUUUCUUUCAAAAAUAUUGGCACAUAGUGGGGAGGGAAGUCAGCAAUUUCUGCUUGGAAGUACUUAAUAAAGGUAAAUCUUUACAACUGCUGAAUCAUACGAAUAUAGUGUUACUUCCAAAAACGUCUCACCCAAGAAAUCCCACCAAUUUUAGACAUAUUAGUCUAUGCUCGGUGUUCUAUAAAAUCAUAUCAAAAUCUAUCGCAAACAGACUUCAAAAAGUUACGGAUCAUUGUAUCGAUUCUGCUCAAAGUGCGUUCGUUCCGAGAAGACUAAUUUCUGACAACGUACUUCUCGCCUACGAAAUUCUUCACAUUAUGAGAAAUAAAAGGGUGGGGAAAAAAGAUCUUAUGGCACUUAAGAUUGAUAUGAGUAAAGCAUAUGAUAGGGUGGAAUGGAAGUUUUUGGAAAAAAAUGAUGAUCACAAUGGCUUUUGAUGUGCGAUGGGUGGAGUGCAUAAUGCAUUGUAUUAGCACAGUGUCGUAUUCGGUGGUUUUAAAUGGCAUGCCAGGGAUGGUUUUUACUCCAAGAAGAGGCCUAAGGCAAGGGGACCCUUUAAGUCCCUUUCUAUUCCUUUUAUGCAGUGAAGGGCUGUCAACACUUUUAAGGCUUGCAACAGAGGAAGGAGUAUUGAAAGGGAUUAAGGCAAGUAGAAGGGGACCUCAAAUUUCCUAUCUCUUUUUUGCUGAUGACUGUGUUUUAUUUGGAGAAGUGACCGGCAAGGGUAUUGCAACGUUUGAAAAGGUGCUCAAGGAAUACGAAAUUUGUUCUGGAAAAUGUAUUAAUUAUAGUAAGUCAACUGUGUUUUUUAGCUCAAAUACCAUUGAAAAUGUUCGAUCUACCAUAUCGAAUCGUCUAGGACUGAAAAGGGCAAACAAUUCUGAGAAAUACCUAAGCCUACCGAAUAUGGUGGGAAGGAAGGAGCGUUUGGUAUUCCAACAUUUAAAGGAUAGCCUAAAGUUAAAGAUAGACAAUUGGAGUACAAGAUUAUUAUCGCAAGGCGGAAAAGAAGUGUUCAUCAAAGCCGUUUUACAAGCAAUCCCCACGUACACAAUGGCAUGUUUUCUUUUGCCGAAAUCAUUAUGUGAAGAAAUGGAACAAAUCAUCGCAAAAUUUUGGUGGCAAAAAGGUUAUGGGAAACGAGGUAUUCACUGGUGUUUAUGGAGCAAAUUAUGCGAGUUAAAAAAGAGUGGCGGUCUCGGAUUCCGCAAUUUGGCAAAAUUUAAUUUGGCCCUUCUCGCAAAACAAGGCUGGAAAUUAAUUGACGAUUCUAAUUCCCUUUUGGCUAGAACGUUAAAAGUUAAAUAUUAUCCGAAUACUGAUUUUUUAAAUUCAGGUUUAGGUAAUUUACCUUCCUAUACCUGGAAAAGCAUAUGGGCAGCAAAGGGCCUCUUACUAUCGGGAUUGUGCUGGAGGGUGGGGAAUGGCCAUGACAUUCGUAUAGAAGAAGAUGUUUAGGUCCCAAAUGUGCCAGGUCUACUGAUUAACAAAAAGGACAGAAUGCAGAACAUCAUAAUGGUUGCGGAUCUUAUUGACAGUAAUAUCAGAGCAUGGAAAACAGAGUUGAUUUGGAGUACCUUUUCGGAAGUUGAUGUUCCAAAGAUUCUGCAAAUCCCUUUGGCCCAGCGUUCACAAAAUGAUCUUUUGAUAUGGAGGGGUGAAGCAUCGGGUAAAUAUACUGUGCGUAGUGGUUACAAACUACUAUUACAAGGCAAUGAUUACAAUAGUAAUGGUUACAGUUUGCCUGAAAUUACAAAAUGUUACAAGAAACUGUGGAACUGUAAUCUCCCCUCAAAGGUACGUAUUACAGUUUGGAGAGCCACUCUCAACUACCUCCCUACCCUAGUGAAUUUAAGAAUCAAAAGAUUAACGAAUAACGCCAUCUGCCCGAGAUGUAAGCAAGGGCUGGAAACUAGGGAACAUAUUUUUCGCGACUGUGCUGCUGCGAAGGAAAUGUGGAAAAAAUUAAAUUAUGUAUGGUCACUCAAGUUAUCGCAUAUGGACUAUAUGGAGUGGUUUACCUGGGUAUUGUUGCACAGUAAAGAGAAAGAAUGCUACAUCUUUGUCUGUGCCAUUUGGGCUAUCUGGUCGAAUAAGAAUCAAUGGGUACACGGAGGACAUAAGAGAACUAGAACAGAAAUAGCGCAGUUUGUAAUACAGUAUUUACAGGAAUUACAAGAUAUGGAAAGAAAACACCAUGCCAAAUACUCAGUUUUAGAUUCAUGGAAGGCGCCGGAAAGCAGGUUCCUCAAAAUCAAUUUCGAUGCUCCUUUUGAUAAGGGGAAAAAUAUAUCUUGUUCAAGGGUAAUAGUCAAGAACUUUAAAGGUGAUGUAUUGGUUUCAAAAUCGGUCAUCCAUGACAAGAUUUCUUCAAGAUUUGCAGCAGAAGCCUUAGCAUGUUUGCAGGCGGUUAUGGUGGGAAAAGAAUUGGGGAUAAAAUAUGUUAUUUUCGAAGGCGACUCUCUGACAGUUAUAAAAAAAUGAACAAAAAAAAAGAUAAAUCGGUAAUCGGCCCUUAUAUUGAUGAUAUUCAAGAGCAGAAGGCGAAUUUUUAUGGAUGCAAAUUCCAGCAUGCAAAAAGAGCGGCAAAUAGAGCAGCACAUAACCUAGCAUCUGAAGGGUGAAAAUGGGGGUGAAUGCAUACUUUGUUCAUGAGCUUGUUACUCAAGUUCUCACCGAUUCAGAAAUUGAUAGGGGAUGGAGAUGAAGGCCAUCACUGAGUCAACACCAUCUCCAGCAAAUGAGAGAGUAGGAGAAAAAAUUUUAGAUCUCUAUGACUGUUUGUUUCUCCAAGAGUUA